rnacentral:rRNA from 1 species
AGCCUGAACGCUGGCGGCGUGGCUAAGACAUGCAAGUCGUACGGGCGUAGCAAUACGUCAGUGGCGAACGGGUGAGUAAAGUAUCGCUAACGUACCCCUCAGUCUGGGAUAGCCGGGGGGAAACUCCGGGUAAUACCAGGUGACAUUCUCUGCCUGCAUGGGCGGAGACUCAAAGGGAAACCGUUGAGGGAGCGGGCGAUAUCGUAUCAGCUAGUUGGUGAGGUAACGGCUCACCAAGGCGACGACGCGUAGCCGGGCUGAGAGGUCGGCCGGCCACAUUGGGACUGAGACACUGCCCAGACUCCUACGGGGGCUGCAGUAACGAAUCUUCCGCAAUGCACGCAAGUGUGACGGAGCGACGCCGCGUGUGGGACGAAGUCCUCGGGAUGUAACCACUGUCGAGGGGUAAGAAAGUUCUGACUCUACCCAGAGGAAGGCGACGCUAACUCUGUGCCAGCAGCCGC